rnacentral:lncRNA from 1 species
UCCCUCCGUCCCAAAUUGUAUGUCACUUUAGAAAAAAUAUUUGUCCUAAAUUAUAUGUCGCUUUACAAUACCAAUGAAAAAUUAAUGUUAUUUUUCCUAUUAUAUCCUUAACUAUUUAUUACUCUCUCUUCUUUCAAUUUCUUCAUUUAUCUUUCCUAUAUCAUUUAUUGAGGAUAAUUUUGUAAAACAACUCAUAAUAUCUCUUUCCCACACAAUAUUAAUU